rnacentral:lncRNA from 1 species
UCUCACACACACACACACUCUGUCUCUGUCUUUCUUCUCACACACACACACACACUCUGUCUCUCUUUCUUCUCACACACACACACACACUCUGUCUCUCUGUCUUUCUUCUCUCUCUCACACACACACUCUGUCUCUCUUUCUUCUCUCUCACACACACACACACUCUGUCUCUCUGUCUUCUCUCUCUCUCUCACACACACACACUCUGUCUCUCUGUCUUCUCUCUCUCACACACACACACACUCUGUCUCUCUUUCUUCUCUCUCUCACACACACACACACUCUGUCUUCUCUCUCACAUACACACACACACACUCUGUCUCUCUGUCUUUCUUCUCUCACACACACACUCUGUCUCUCUGUCUUCUCUCUCUCUCUCUCUCACACACACACGCUGUCUCUCUUUCUUCUCUCUCUCACACACACACUGUCUCUCUUUCUUCUCUCUCUCUCACACACACACACACACUCUGUCUCUCUGUCUUUCUUCUCUCUCUCACACACACACUGUCUCUCUUUCUUCUCUCUCUCACACACACACACACACUGUCUCUCUGUCUUUCUUCUCUCUCUCACACACAUACACUCUCUCUUUCUUCUCUCUCUCUCUCUCUCACACACACACAUACACACACACAUACUGUGCAAUGCAGUAGAAAAAAAUUCCCCAGUACAGGGAAGCAUGAGACCCAAGUUUUGGUUCUUCUUUCUGGACUUCAGUGUUCCCAUCGAUAAAAUGAUCAGUGGUCACCAGCUGAGGGCUAUGGGCCCCAUCCUGACUGCAGAUGUGUUGAUUGAUCCAAAGUAUUGAAAAACAAAGCAUUUAAACAUUUACCUACAUUAAAAAAAAUCAGAGACUUUGCCUAGAAAAAAAAAUCUUGUUCCUCACUUGAACAAGAUUCUUUUGAAAUUCCUAAGGUCUAGCAAAACUGGGUUUGCAUUUUCCAAGGCUAAAUCUGCCUGGCACUAAGUGGCAGCUGUCCCUCUGAAACCGAGUGUAUUCUUGCGUGCAAGCCACAGUCCCCACCAUUCCCAAACGCUGCACACCCUAUGGGCUUCCCUAUUCAAUGAUGCAUCUUACUGCCUGGCCCUGCGGUGACUGUGCCUCCAUCCGCACAUUAGGAGUGUUUCAUU